GUCCCGGUGGAUAACGCGGUGUCUGUCCCCGCUCGGGGGAGGGUCCCGGUGGAUAACGCGGUGUCCCCGCUCAUGGGAGGGUCCCGGUUUUCUAAAUGUUUUAACUCAUCCUGUACAGAUUUGUGCAUUUGUGUCCAUCUCACACACUGCACAAGGAUCCCAGGGCAAUUAACCUUUGGGAGGACACGAACAAGAAACCUCAGGGAGAAGAAAUCCAGGUGAAAAAAGAAAAAGCAGUGACUGAGCUGAGGCACUGGAGCUGCCAGACCCCAGAGUUCACAGAUAACCAGAUUUAUUUCUCCACACAGCCAGGAAUUGUUGUGCCACAGCAGUGCCUAUUUUGAAUUAAGGAAAAUCAAGCCUUGAUGAACAGCCAGAAUGAGAAGUGGGACUAAUUCCCUGCAGCUGGGUCUCUGCUAAACACAACCAGCCCCAAAAUGCUGCCCCAUCUGCAAACUGGACGUGAGCAGCUCAAUUCAUCCCAAAAAAUCCCAAAAUACACUGCAUUCCUGCACUGCUGCAUCUCUAACUCCAGACAAGCCUUGGCUGCCUAUUUCUUUUUUUUUUUUUUUUUAAUUCUGCAAUGAAACUAUGCAGGAAAGAUCCCAACCAUGCAAAGGAAUAUUCUCAGCUAAUAUAAAUCAGGGUUAUUUCACAAAAGGCAAUGAACUGAAGCUGGUUUAUGUCUCCUACAGCUGUAGAUCAAAACAGAAUUAGCUUGAAACCUGCUGCAUGGAGCUAUUUAGAAUUAUUUGUGAAGUGCCUAAUCCCCAGAAGCUUAUGUUCAGAAAGGAUUUUUGGCAGCUAAGCCAGGAAAAGCCACAGAGCAAUCACCAUAAAAUCUCACUGACACUAGCAAGGGUGAGGAGUGUCACUGGAAUGAAAAUAUCCUGGCACCUUUCACACAACAUCAUGCCACUGCUUCAAGAAAGAAUCAUGGGGAGAUCAACCUCACUGCAAUAAAUAUUUCUCAUUUCCAGCGAAACUGAGGAAUUCCACAGGCCAAAGCUGUGCAAUGCAAAGCACUGUAGGGACAAAGAGAAACCAUCCCAGGUAGCACCAUAAACAAACAGAUUUCUCAGAAUUGCUGCUUCUCCAAGACCAGAGGCAUCCAUGAGGUUUCUCUUCCUUAAUAAGCAUCCUUGACAUCCAAUCUGCUCCGUGGUGGGAUUUGAAUAACAACCUUCAGGAUGGGCACCCAUGGCCCCACUGAGCUGUGAAAUGAAUCGGACACAGAGGGACUUCAGGAACAUCUACUGGAAGGACAAUAUUCCACACUUGUCUCUGUAAGGACAUGGACCCUGCUGAGGAAGGGGCUGACACAGAGCCAUUGGGUCAGGAAUAAUGAAUAUCUAAUCUGGUGAAUGCCAGCA